UACCGAUUUGUUCGCCGGUGUGAGUGGGUCGUGUCGACGGUUUGCGUGCGCAACGCCAGACAGUGUGGUACCCUCGCGUUCAGUAAAAACGACAUUUCGAUAUUUUCUGCGUUUAUUUUCUCCGUGAUUUCAUCGUGCAUCGUCUGUCGUGCGCGACGUCCUCGUAUCGAGUUCAUAUAUCUUUUUUCGUUUCGUCGUCUCGGCUCGCGUGAACGCACGAGAAAAUGUGUGCCGCGGAUGUUGUUUAACAGUGAUAACACCGUCUUGACUACGGGCAGUUGCAUUUGAUUUUCUUAUGUGACCAGUGCGUUUGUGUAAUAGGUUUCCGGUACUUGGUGGUCGGCAGCAAUAGUUCACGAUGAAGCUGGAGUAUCCUUGUCGCGUCGAGGGUUGGCUGAACGUUUGUGGUAAGACAUUUUUUAAUUAAUGUUUUACAUUCUUCCUUGGAAAAUAUUGAAGAACGAAAACUACGAAACUGUGGGGUUCGUCAUACGAGUAAGUCCAUUGUGGUUCAUCCGAGUAUCAAUUCCAAUUAUCAUCGAUCUUGCUAACGACCGAUUGUCGCGAUAAUUAAUUAUCCAACACGUCGAUGUGUUUUGGGACACAGGUUCCCAGUAGAUCGGUGCAUAUUAGCGCACAUGGGCACGCAUCGACAUAUCCGUUCUCAGGUAUGUAAUGAGACGCACCGCAAGUAUUCGAAUUGCAGACACAGCCAACGCCCCUCCCCCGUCUCGUGGAACUGCGUUUCGUCGUUCGUUAUCCAUGGUCACACUUAACAUUUAAUUUACUAAUGAACGUUGGCGAACGAUUCACGACACACAACCUACUGGUAAUCCUACUUGUGGGACUUGGGACUAGUCGACUAAUUGUAAGUACUGGAUCGCGCCGUUCGACGAAUUAAAAUUGAAAGCGAAUUAAUUAAUGUUAGUCACAAUGCCGAGAGCAUACUCAGGGGUGAUUUUAAAAUUGCAAUUUUUUCAUAAACGGAGUAACUUCGAUUAGCUUUCGGCGAUGAGUUUCGCAUCGUUCGUAUAUUUUUUUAUAGGACUGAACAAUAAAAAUAUAUAUUAGGGGAACUCGUAAGUAACGGCGUCUUUUUAUAUUUCUCAAAAUUCGGUUUUAUUUAAGAAUUAAUACUGUUUCAAUUUAGAGUAUAACGUUCUCAAUAGGUUUUACCUACAAGUAACCCUAAUAUAAUUUGGUAAUGUAUAUACAAAAUUUUAUUUUAUUUAAAAUUUAAUGCCGUUUUAAUUUGCAAUAUAAUCUCCAUCGUUGAGCUUGUUUAAAGCCUCUUCUGGAAAAUCCUCGUUUAUAAAAAUCCUAUUCGUUUAUACCAAUGUUGAUUCCUGUGUGUUAGAUUUAAUCUAUCCUGGUUGGGUUCGAAAUUAAUCUUUUUUAAAUUGACCACAUGGAUAGAUCUCGAUCAACACAAAACUGUUAUAAUGUUAUAUGUAGACUACGGAUGUUUAUGCAAAUUCAUAUUUUUACAGAUACUAUUCCAAUUUACACCUCGUGUAUACACUUUCCAAACCAACUAUAAUUUCCCACAGUGAUACAUUUAAACAAACCUUCCACGUAACGUAAUUCCACUCAACCAGCUCUAUUUCUAAAAAAAACUGACGUCAGAUGUUUUUCAAACAAUCAACUGAGAUACACUUAUGAAUGGGGUAUCAAAUAUAAAUAAUUUGAGUGUCUUGCUCGACCAGGAAAAUUUCAACACGCCGUCCUUUUUACAAUAAACUUUCUCACGAUUGUUCGUGUCCGUGGAUACACUGGCCGUUUCUGAACGCGUUUCGAACAACACGUGGGUGCUACGGGUAUUAUGCACGCGCACCUACGCACCCACACUCGUUCAAAGGUCGAUCGGCACUUCCACCUACGUCUCCGAGUAGAUCUCGUUUCGUACAAUCCGAUAUCCCAUGGGAAUCUGUUUGAAAUUUAUCCGUGGACGUUCCGAUGGCGAAUUCGCACACGAGUCGACCGCAAAGUCGGCCACGUUCGUCAGCCAACGGUGCGCGAAAAUCUGUAUCGUUUUCUCGUGUGAAUUAUACCUGGAUUCACGCCAUUAUCUCGCGAAAACACAGUCGAAAACAAGAUAAAGCGGUUUUGUGUGCAAAUGGGGGCUCGCGUGUAGUUACCACUGGAUCGAGGACAUUACCGUACUCGUAUCGAUUUCAUCAGAAAUCGGAAAUGCACUUUGAAAGCGUAUACAGUACUGUACAAAAGUCUUGAGCCACUUACGGUAGUU